rnacentral:rRNA from 1 species
AUGGCGAGCCGUUCUCUCACCCCCUUCCAGCUCACUACCAUCCUCUUCCUAGCACUCCUUGCCACGUGCCACGCCGGCAGCAUCGCCGUGUACUGGGGCCAGAACGACGGUGAGGCAUCGCUGGCCGAGACGUGUGCAUCUGGGAACUAUGAGUUUGUCAUCCUCGCUUUUCUCCCAAAAUUCGGCAAGGGCCAGACGCCGCAACUGAACCUAGCCAGCCACUGCGACCCUUCCUCCGGUGGAUGCAGAGGCCAGAGCAAGGACAUCAAAGCGUGCCAGGGCCAGGGCGUUAAAGUCCUGCUCUCCAUCGGCGGCGGCGAUGGUAGUUAUGGCCUCUCUUCUCCAGGCGACGCACGGCAAGUUGCCUUGUACCUCUGGAACAACUACCUGGCCGGUGCAUCCUCGUCCGGUCCCCUCGGCGACGUCGCGCUCGAUGGCAUUGACUUUGAUAUCGAGCAAGGCAGCGCCAAGUUCUGGAACAAUCUUGCCACUGACCUAAAGAAUUUGGGAAAGAACGGAGGCAAGACCGUAUUGCUGAGCGCGGCACCGCAGUGCCCGUUCCCGGAUGAAUGGGACGGCGGUGCGAUCAGCACGGGACUGUUCGACUACGUGUGGGUGCAGUUCUACAACAACGAGGAAUGCCAGUUCAGUGCGGGACAGGGGGCCUUCAUGAACGCAUGGAAGAAGUGGGAGUCAGUGCCGGCCGGGAAGAUCUUCUUGGGGCUUCCGGCUUCCAAGGACGCGGCGGGCACGGGGUUCGUCCCUGCCGGCGAGCUCACUUCGCAUGUGUUGCCGCUCAUCAAGGGCUCUUCAAAGUACGGUGGUGUCAUGCUAUGGUCCAAGUUCUAUGAUGACCAAACCGGCUAUAGCUCUGCCAUCAAGAGCGAUGUGUGA